AUACAUGCAAGUCGAACGGUGAUAGCAAUAUCAUAGUGGCGCACGGGUGCGUAACACGUAUGCAACCUACCUUAUACUUAGGGAUAGCCUUUGGAAACGGAGAUUAAUACCUAAUAGUACAUUUGACUGGCAUCGGUUGACUGUUAAAGAUUUAUUGGUAUAAGAUGGGCAUGCGUCCAAUUAGUUAGUUGGUGAGGUAAUGGCUCACCAAGACGAUGAUUGGUAGGGGAACUGAGAGGUUAAUCCCCCACACUGGCACUGAGAUACGGGCCAGACUCCUACGGGAGGCAGCAGUAGGGAAUAUUGGGCAAUGGAGGGAACUCUGACCCAGCCAUGCCGCGUGCAGGAUGAAGGCGUUAUGCGUUGUAAACUGCUUUUAUAUAGGAAGAAAUAGUCCUUGCGAGGAAAGUUGACGGUACUAUAUGAAUAAGCACCGGCUAACUCCGUGCCAGCAGCCGCGGUAAUACGGAGGGUGCAAGCGUUGUCCGGAUUUAUUGGGUUUAAAGGGUGCGUAGGCGGUUUAUUAAGUCAGUGGUGAAAGACGGUCGCUCAACGAUUGCAGUGCCAUUGAUACUGGUAGACUUGAGUAUGAUUGAGGUAGCUGGAAUGGAUAGUGUAGCGGUGAAAUGUUCAUAGAUAU
rnacentral:rRNA from 1 species